AGGAGAUCGCUCAUCGAGACUGCACGGGAACGUUGUGGAUGCCACCCACGUUGAGUUAUCACGCAGGAAUGCCGUAAAAAGUGAGUGCAGUGGGACAUACAUGCACGACAACAGGAAUCCUCGGUGGUUUUCCAGUUGCUAAGGUGACCGACCGUGCUUCAGGUGUGACAGAACAUUUCUUCUGGGAUGAAAUCUCCACAGGCCCUGGAGGAUUUGUGUUUUUCUAGACGCACAAACAGCCCGAGGACAUGACGCAAGAUUGAAGCCCAGCAAGCUAGAUAAAGACGCUUACACAGUGUUGGCCACAGCCAACACAAAAAAGGAAACGUCUUCUUUACUGAACAAAUGGAGAUAAACAGUUCCUCUGUUUUCCCUCUAUGCUGGUCUUUUAGGUACUGUGCUGUAUACUUUUUCAAAAAGCUUAGAAGGGAGAAUUCUGUCAUCCACACAUAUCCUCCGGGAAAUAUGUGUACGCACCACUGACUCCUCUGUGACCUUUCAUACAUGAUUAGGAACUCUAAUCAACUGAGUGUCACUCCCUGGAAAUAUAGCAUAUCCCAUUUCAUGCUGCUGUCAUGUCGCUGGCUGCUUGUCACUACGGUAACUGCUGCAUCGCGUCAAAACUCAAAACGCUUUUUUAGAAAAGCCUCCAAGAGCAUGGAAGGAAUGGAGUGACAGUUUUUUUUGUAACUGAGACACCUGGGAAUACGACUGAAAAAAGGGAUUGUGAAAGAUUUAACAAAAUGUAUCAUUUGAUAAUGAGACCAAGUCCCAAGUAAUCUUUUUUUUUGAGUGUGAAUGACCACAUCAUCAUUAGUCGAAUAUGCCACAGUAAAGAAUAAUUAAAACACAUAAGACGGGUUAGUGUUGCCAAAAUGUGUUGCUUUGUUGUUGAGGAAGGUGUUCCUUACAUGUUGUGAUUUAAAAAGAGGCACUUAUCAACCUACCUCAGGCCUCCCUCACUCACGGUGCAACACAGCAAGUAACUACAUACUACCACACAAUGUGGGUAUCGACAUUUUACACGCUUAAUAAAUGCAAAUAUUUAAUAGUAACUCAUUAACCACAAGGCAUGCUGGGAUGUGCACAGUACCCCAAAAUCAAAAGUUACCCGGCUUAUUUUGGAGGUCAUAAAUGAGUAUAAAAUGGCAUUGUUUUGCAUGUAUUUUAGUGUGUAUAUUCCAAUACCUGCAUAGCCCGUAUAAUAGUUAAAUGUGCUGCUUGUACAGAAAUCCCUCGCUACAUCGAAUAUCAAAUAUCCGUCACUCUCUUGGUUUUCCAAAAUGAAUUAAUUAAUAAAUAAUCACGGUUGAAUAUGGCCCUAUAUUAGUCAUCAAAUAUUGAAAUACAAGGUAUAUGUAUUAUUCUGGCUACUAGGCAUCAGUGAUGACACAAAACAUUAAUGAGACAUGACAUUACAUCAGUCAGCCAUGGCAUGUCCGAUAUAUGAUAAAGUGACGAGAAAUUCCCCUCCUAUUCCAUGUGGAAGUGGUACAUUCUGGAUUUUUUUUGUCUUUCUUCCCCACUCCAAUCAUAACCCUUUCUUAAGUUUAAAAUACAUAAGAAUAAGGCUAAUUAUUUAGUUCUCUAACAUGCUAUGCAUUUCAUGCUAUGCCAUUUCUUGUGUCCCAUAGGCUAAGCAUUAGCAAUGUGGUGGACACAAAGAACAAUAAGAGUGUAAAGGGGUGUGAUUUCAUGCCUACAUGGGUGUAAUAAUGGUUAAAAAAUUGAAAGUAAUAAACUUGUUUUCUAUGCUCUAACUACAAAAAAAAAAUCCAUUUAUUAACAUUGAAUUUUGCAGAAAUCAGUGUCAAAAUACACGUUGUUGCAGUUGUCUCAGUUCAUCGUUUUUUACAUUUGUGGCUGGCCUGAGAACAAAUCACUUAGAGACGACAUUAAACUUCCUGUAAAUUGUAUUUGUGCAAGCAUGUCUUGUGACAUUUAAAUAUCCUUCUGCUCUUCGUAUGUAGAAUACUCUGCAUGUGGCGAGAACGCAUGAUAAAGAUACACAGUUACAGUACAUAGGUACAAACGCUACCUGACAUAAAGAGAGUAACCUGCCAAAACACGCCCAUACCCACUCUAAACACGGUGGGUAGCAAUAGGCUACACGGCAGAUGUUGCCUUCUCUUAUGAGCAGGAACCCUUUCUACUGUUUGAACAUGUCUUUCUGCAUGGAUGAGCACAUGCAUACGGGCGCCAAGACAGCUGUCCGCCAUGCAUAAUGUGUCCUUUGAGACCCCCCCUCUGGCAGGUGGAAGUCCACUAGAGUCUUGGGCAUCUCAGCACUGUGGGAAGGUCCACAAACAUAUGGUACUGAAUAGGGAUGUGCAGAGGUUUUCCUUGAAUUUGGUUACACGUAGUUAAAAUGCAAUGAGGGUCUUGUGAAUGACAAAUGAUGGUG